rnacentral:rRNA from 1 species
GACGAACGCUGGCGGCGUGCUUAACACAUGCAAGUCGAACGAAGAGCGAUGGAAGCUUGCUUCUAUCAAUCUUAGUGGCGAACGGGUGAGUAACGCGUAAUCAACCUGCCCUUCAGAGGGGGACAACAGUUGGAAACGACUGCUAAUACCGCAUACGAUCUAAUCUCGGCAUCGAGGAUAGAUGAAAGGUGGCCUCUACAUGUAAGCUAUCACUGAAGGAGGGGAUUGCGUCUGAUUAGCUAGUUGGAGGGGUAACGGCCCACCAAGGCGAUGAUCAGUAGCCGGUCUGAGAGGAUGAACGGCCACAUUGGGACUGAGACACGGCCCAGACUCCUACGGGAGGCAGCAGUGGGGAAUCUUCCGCAAUGGACGAAAGUCUGACGGAGCAACGCCGCGUGAGUGAUGACGGCCUUCGGGUUGUAAAGCUCUGUUAAUCGGGACGAAAGGCCUUCUUGCGAAUAGUGAGAAGGAAUUGACGGAACCGGAAUAAAAAAGCC